UACACAAUACGCAUAAUAUAUUAUGUAUAUUGCAGUGUAAGUAUGACAUCAUCGUGGUAAUUAUUCAAUGACACAAUAUACAAUAUCCGUGCCGCGUUACGAUAUCAAAUGUAUAAUGAUAUAUUAUAUAUUAAAUUAUUAUAUUAAUAUAGUAUUAUUACUAAUAUUCUUUAUUACGAUUAAUCGAGUCGACAGCCUUAUCUAGUCAGUCGUCAUAUCCGCGGAUUCUGUCGGUGUUCGGGUGUUCAGACUUUCAGAGGGAAAUUCAAAAAUUAUCUUAAAAUGGUCAAGGGCACUGCGUCGAUUGGACAGGACUAACCAAUCGCGCGAGCGGGUGUAUGCGGCACACACGGUCGUGGGCGGAGGGUAGUUUUUGAACAUUUAACGGCAUAAUCAUCAGCGUAUAUUAUUAUCAGACGUUCAACACUUACCUUAUCAUCAGGUUUUCCAUGAAUCUCUCGAUUGUGAUCUCGUCCAGUAGAACGAAAUCCACAAUUCCCGGUUCAUCUCGGGUGGCCAUGGUAAUAUAUUAUUAUUAUCUUCUCGAUCGGCAACGGGAUGCUGUGUCGAUGUGUAAAGAUUAUAUUAUGUAAGAAUUGAUAUUAAACAGACAAUGUCGCGAGUUCGAGAAACGACCGCGCGAAUUGAUAUCGGUUGUCGGCACAGAAUAGUUACACGACACUAUAUAAUACACUAAUACCUACUACACUACUAUAGACUAUAGUACUACUGCUAGUAGUUAGUACUGCUGUCUGCUAGUUACUACAAUUAUAGUCGUACACACGGCGACUGGAAACUGUGGGAAGUGGAAGAGGCAACCGCGAUAUUGUGGGUGGUGGUGACAGUGCGUCCGAGACGGCAGACGCGAAAUUAUCGUUAGCCGCAUCAUUUGAUUUGUUAGUUGUUACAGUGUCAUAUUAUUAUGUAUCGUGGUCCUCGCCGAUACCAUAAUAAUAUAUACCAUUAUUACCGUACUUGGCAUUUUAUUAUUUUAAUCUCUUUUCUAUGAUUUUGGGGUUCCGAAAAUCGAAGGUGUAGGUAGUGACUAGUGAAGGUACCUAUUACCCGUGACGACACAGACACGGUCAUCGCCUAUUAUAGUUUGACUUUUGGUGUGCGAUUCACAAGCACUCAUAACGAAUGACAUAACUCAUAACAACUAGGGACGUAUAACAUCGGGAACCAAGAAAUAUACAACCAGCUGCAGACGGCAAUAAAGUUUUUGUUUUUUGUUCUAGCCGAUUUACCACCCAGUGAGCAACUACAAUAAUGGAAAACGUAAUUUAUAUUUCGCUACAGGCACGCAACGUGUCAUUUGUUAUUAUUAUUAAGUUAGAGAGCAGCUGCCGUAUUUAGAGAAUACAAAAUAUAAAACAGUAAACCACGUCUUAGAAGAUUGUAAAGAUUGUUAAUUAAAAAAAAAAAAAAUUCGCGGCAAUCGUUCAGUAAGUACCUACAUAAUAUUAUUAUUUAUUACAAUCGAUUCAACAGUUACACAGUUUUUUCGAUUAUCGUCGUGUAAACACGGGAGUGUGUACUUGUCCCGGUAAUUAUUACAAGUUGACAAUUUUAUUAUUGACCUAUGACUUACCUUUGGCAAAGAAGUGAUAAUAAUUCGUUUCGAAGAAUCGAUAAGAACAAUAUUCCAAGAAUUUCCCGGAAGAAUACCGCAAUCAUAUGAAUAUCAACCUCUCAAUCAGAAAUCAGUAUCUUAUUUAACCAAAACACAGUUGAUGACAAUUAUUUUAUUCCGUUGAUAUGCAUGUAACUGCCAGUUUGUAUUUUUGUAUUCAAAACAUAAAACAUGUGUACAUAUGAAAAUCGAGGGAUGAGCUUUCGUAAAUUAUGAAUGAAAAGACUCACAGCUAUUAAUAAAAUUUAUAACUUUUGAAUGAAUCAUCGUCGAUCAUCUACGCGUGGUGAUUAUGUGGCUGUUGAACAUUGGACACAAAUACAUGAUAAGUAUUUUAUAUUUCUAUGUAUAUCAAUAUUUAACUGUGCAAUACUUUUAAAAGAUGAACAAUUAUUAUUAUAUUUAUGAUGAAAUGUCAUCUAUUCUGUGUUAAUAUUAACAAUUAACAUCACACUCAAAACCCAACAGCAACCACAAACUGAAUAAAUUAAUAAAAUAGACUAGAUAAAUGCUUAUUUUAUGAUUUUCGAAUUGUCUGAAAAUGAUU